UCAUCCUACCAGGUUAGUUAACCCUUCCUCA
rnacentral:piRNA from 1 species